GCCGUCUGGGCGGCUAUAAAGAGUCCUCAAGCCCAGAGCGUCCGCCGGGAAACCGGCGGGG
rnacentral:ribozyme from 1 species